ACGAACGCUGGCGGCGCGCCUAACACAUGCAAGUCGAACGGAGCUGAGAGAAGCUUGCUUUUCUUAGCUUAGUGGCGAACGGGUGAGUAACGCGUGAGUAACCUGCCCUGGAGUGGGGGACAACAGUUGGAAACGACUGCUAAUACCGCAUAAGCCCACGGCCCGGCAUCGGGCUGAGGGAAAAGGAUUUAUUCGCUUCAGGAUGGACUCGCGUCCAAUUAGCUAGUUGGUGAGGUAACGGCCCACCAAGGCGACGAUUGGUAGCCGGACUGAGAGGUUGAACGGCCACAUUGGGACUGAGACACGGCCCAGACUCCUACGGGAGGCAGCAGUGGGGGAUAUUGCACAAUGGGGGAAACCCUGAUGCAGCGACGCCGCGUGGAGGAAGAAGGUUUUCGGAUUGUAAACUCCUGUCGUUAGGGACGAUAAUGACGGUACCUAACAAGAAAGCACCGGCUAACUACGUGCCAGCAGCCGCGGUAAAACGUAGGGUGCAAGCGUUGUCCGGAAUUACUGGGUGUAAAGGGAGCGCAGGCGGACCGGCAAGUUGGAAGUGAAAACUAUGGGCUCAACCCAUAAAUUGCUUUCAAAACUGCUGGCCUUGAGUAGUGCAGAGGUAGGUGGAAUUCCCGGUGUAGCGGUGGAAUGCGUAGAUAUCGGGAGGAACACCAGUGGCGAAGGCGACCUACUGGGCACCAACUGACGCUGAGGCUCGAAAGCAUGGGUAGCAAACAGGAUUAGAUACCCUGGUAGUCCAUGCCGUAAACGAUGAUUACUAGGUGUUGGAGGAUUGACCCCUUCAGUGCCGCAGUUAACACAAUAAGUAAUCCACCUGGGGAGUACGACCGCAAGGUUGAAACUCAAAGGAAUUGACGGGGGCCCGCACAAGCAGUGGAGUAUGUGGUUUAAUUCGAAGCAACGCGAAGAACCUUACCAGGUCUUGACAUCCGAUGCAUAGUGCAGAGAUGCAUGAAGUCCUUCGGGACAUCGAGACAGGUGGUGCAUGGUUGUCGUCAGCUCGUGCCGUGAGGUGUCGGCUUAAGUGCCAUAACGAGCGCAACCCUUAUCUUUAGUUACUAACAGGUCAUGCUGAGGACUCUAGAGAGACUGCCGUCGUAAGAUGUGAGGAAGGUGGGGAUGACGUCAAAUCAGCACGGCCCUUACGUCCGGGGCUACACACGUGUUACAAUGGGGGGUACAGAAGGCAGCUAGCGGGUGACCGUAUGCUAAUCCCAAAAGCCUCUCUCAGUUCGGAUCGAAGUCUGCAACCCGACUUCGUGAAGCUGGAUUCGCUAGUAAUCGCGCAUCAGCCACGGCGCGGUGAAUACGUUCCCGGGCCUUGUACACACCGCCCGUCAAGCCAUGGGAGCCGGGGGUACCUGAAGUACGUAACCGCAAGGAUCGUCCUAGGGUAAAACUGGUGACUGGGGCU
rnacentral:rRNA from 1 species